GCAAGUCGAACGGUAACAUUUCUAGCUUGCUAGAAGAUGACGAGUGGCGGACGGGUGAGUAAUGCUUGGGAACUUGCCUUUGCGAGGGGGAUAACAGUUGGAAACGACUGCUAAUACCGCAUAAUGUCUUCGGACCAAACGGGGCUUCGGCUCCGGCGCAAAGAGAGGCCCAAGUGAGAUUAGCUAGUUGGUAAGGUAAAGGCUUACCAAGGCAACGAUCUCUAGCUGUUCUGAGAGGAAGAUCAGCCACACUGGAACUGAGACACGGUCCAGACUCCUACGGGAGGCAGCAGUGGGGAAUAUUGCACAAUGGGGGAAACCCUGAUGCAGCCAUGCCGCGUGUGUGAAGAAGGCCUUCGGGUUGUAAAGCACUUUCAGUUGUGAGGAAAAGUUAGUAGUUAAUACCUGCUAGCCGUGACGUUNACAACAGAAGAAGCACCGGCUAACUCCGUGCCAGCAGCCGCGGUAAUACGGAGGGUGCGAGCGUUAAUCGGAAUUACUGGGCGUAAAGCGCACGCAGGCGGUUUGUUAAGCUAGAUGUGAAAGCCCCGGGCU
rnacentral:rRNA from 1 species